rnacentral:misc_RNA from 1 species
ACAGUGGUAUGUUUUCCCCACUUUGAGGGAGUAAUUGAGCUGGGUGUAACUGAAUUGGUUGCUGAGGACCCUAAUCUCAUUCAACGCAUCAAGGCUUCCAUAUUAGAAUUCUCGAAGCCUGUUUGUGCUGAAAAAUCUUCUUCUGCUACUCAGAGUGCAGAUGAUGAUAAAGACCCAGCAUGCGCUCAACUUGACAAUGAAAAAGUAGAUGCAAUGGCAGUUCUGGAGGACCUGCAAAAUCCCACAGAAGAUAUCAUAUUUAACCAAGAGGGAAUUGAUGAAUUGCAUGGAAAUAUGCAUGAAGAAUUAAACAUGGACUCUUCUGAUGGUUCUUCAAAUGGCUGUGUGCAGAAUCACCGGACUGAAGACUUCUUGCUUGAACAUUUAAAUGGUGGGAUUUCUCGCAUUCAAAGUUGGCAUUUCACAGAUUAUGAAUUAAGCAAUGGUGUUCAAGAUUCUGCCAAUUCCAGUAAUCGUAAAUCUGAAGUUAUUGCGAGUGAUGAAAUCACUCUCUCUGGUCUCAAGGACCAAAAUGUAAGCCACCUUCAGUUGAAAGAACUUCAAGAAGGCAACCGCAGCAAAUUGAGUUCCUUUGAUCUUGGAGCCAGUGAUAACUUGCUCUACAAAAGAACUCUAUCUAUGGUCAUGAGAAGUUCAACCCAGUGGAUUGGAAAUUCAAGUUUCUGUAGUGGGAAUCACAAAUCCAGUUUUGUUACUUGGAAGAAAGGAGAAUUUAAUAGUCAUAGGCCACAAGUACAACAAAAUGUGUUAAAAAAAAUUUUAUUUGCUGUCCCUCUGAUGCACGGUGGAUGCUCUCUUAGGUCGCACAUAGAAAAUGGAGGAAAAGAUUGUGGUAGGAAGCUGAAAAGCAAUGAAAUAUGCCAGGGUUUACCAGAGAAACAAAGAAAGCAUGAAAAAUUCCUGGUACUCAAGUCGAUGAUUCAUUCUGUUAGUGAGAUUGACAAAGCAUCAAUCCUGGAUGACAUGAUUAGAUACUUAGAAGAGCUUGAGGCAAGAGUGGAAGAAUUGGAAUCUUGCAAAAACUUGGUGGAGUAUACAGCAAGACCCAGAAGGAGUGAAUUGGAAAUGGCAGAGAAGACAUCAGAUAACUAUGAAAACAUGAAGUUUGAAAAUGGCAAGAAGGUUUGGAUAAAAAAGAGGAAGGCCAGUUUCAUUUAUGAAACUGAACCAGAGCUUAAUGUAAUGGUAACCGAGGAUGUCUUGCCCACGGAUGUGAAGGUCAGCAUGAGGGAGAAGGAGGUUCUAAUUGAGAUGAAAUGUGCUUACAGGGAAUACAUAUUGCUUGACAUUAUGGAUGAAAUCAACAAUCUUCACUUGGAUGUGCACUCAGUUCAGUCAUCUAGUAUUGAUGGCAUUCUCACAGCGAGCCUAAAGUCUAAGGUUUGUGCCUUUUCUUCUUAUCUUGUUAUUCUUCACAUUUCGCAAACUUGAAUUUUAUGAACUUGAUUUCAGUUUCGAGGGGCAGCAGUUGCAUCUGCAGGGAUGAUCAAACAAGCACUUUGGAAGGUUGGCAGUAAUUAAGAGUUGAAGGGUGUUAUAUUUCAACUUAUCCCUGUUCAUUUGAUAAAUUGGCUUCUAGUUCUAGAUAGUUGUGUAAUUUGUAGCUGUAGCUACUUAAACUUGAAACUGCUUCCUAAAUGCUUUCUUUGUCAAUUGUUUGGAGACAUUGAAAUGAAGUUUAUAAUCUUCAUGGCCCAAGAAACCCAUUAAUCAUAACUAACAAUUCAUGAGAGAAAAUUAC